UCCUGUGGAGUUAGAACCUGGAAUUUUGGGAAAUAUUUUUGACAAAUUGGAAGCAUCAUACAGCUUAACGAUAGAUGGAGCACAAGGAAUAAGAGUCUGUCGAAGAUGAGGCGCCUGUGAUAACAAUAUGGGAAGGAAUUGGAUGGCUAGGUGUUUUAACUCUUUGGAUUUCCGUUCUUUCUGGAUACAUGGUCAAUGCGAUAGAGCAACCGGAUUCCUGAAACUUCUUUGAUUACGCGGUCUUAUAUUCCAAACAGUGUCUCAGAGAUACUAGCACUUUGGAGAAACGACCUCAACAAGAUCGCAAAUAUGAGCAAUAAGUCCCGCUACUUACAAGGAUGGUUAUGAAUCAACAAGAAUCUAUACUUGUUUGAGCA